rnacentral:rRNA from 1 species
AAUUCGAUUAGUUUGAUCAUGGCUCAGAGCGAACGCUGGCGGCAUGCCUAACACAUGCAAGUCGAACGGAUGGCUUCGGCCAUUAGUGGCGCACGGGUGCGUAACACGUGGGAAUCUGCCCAGGGGUACGGAAUAACGCAGGGAAACUUGCGCUAAUGCCGUAUGAUGCCGCAAGGCCAAAGAUUUAUCGCCCCUGGAUGAGCCCGCGUCUGAUUAGCUAGUUGGUGGGGUAAAGGCCUACCAAGGCUACGAUCAGUAGCUGGUCUGAGAGGAUGAUCAGCCACACUGGGACUGAGACACGGCCCAGACUCCUACGGGAGGCAGCAGUGGGGAAUAUUGGACAAUGGGCGAAAGCCUGAUCCAGCAAUGCCGCGUGAGUGAAGAAGGCCUUCGGGUUGUAAAGCUCUUUUACCCGGGAAGAUAAUGACUGUACCGGGAGAAUAAGCCCCGGCUAACUCCGUGCCAGCAGCCGCGGUAAUACGGAGGGGGCUAGCGUUGUUCGGAAUUACUGGGCGUAAAGCGCACGUAGGCGGCGGUUCAAGUCAGAGGUGAAAGCCCGGGGCUCAACUCCGGAAUUGCCUUUGAAACUAGAUCGCUUGAGGAAUGGAGAGGCGAGUGGAAUUCCGAGUGUAGAGGUGAAAUUCGUAGAUAUUCGGAAGA